UACGUAGGGGGCAAGCGUUGUCCGGAUUUAUUGGGCGUAAAGCGCGUGUAGGCGGCUUUACAGGUCCGUUGUGAAAACUCGAGGCUCAACCCCGAGACGCCGGUGGAAACCGUAAAGCUAGAGUCCGGAAGAGGAGAGUGGAAUUCCUGGUGUAGCGGUGAAAUGCGCAGAUAUCAGGAAGAACACCCGUGGCGAAGGCGGCUCUCUGGGACGGUACUGACGCUGAGACGCGAAAGCGUGGGGAGCGAACAGG
rnacentral:rRNA from 1 species